GCCAGCGUCUCUUUUGUAAACACAUAAACAGUAAAUACUAAAUACAAACGGACAUUGUGUACCUACUUUUCAGAAUAUAGCCUUCAGUUGUUGCUUUUAAAUUUAUUAUUGUGAAUUAAUUUUAACGAUACAGAAAAAUGGCUCAAAAUUGCAGCAUUAAAGGAAGGCCUCUGUCGAAAGACGACGUUAUUUGCUUGCUUGAUUUGAUUGAUAAGCAUGAAGUUAUAACAUCCAAGAAGACAGAUGCUACUAACAAUCGGAUGAAGGAGGAAGCUUGGAAAUCCUUAGCGUAUGAAUUUAGUGAGAUCGCGGGAGAAAUACGGCGUCCCGAGCAAUUACGUUUAAAGUGGGAGAAUCUUAAGAAGGCAGCAAGAAAACGAAACGCAAUGAUACGACAAAACAAAUUCAAGACUCGUGGUGGUAAGAUGUACAUCCCCCCAGAUGAAGCCCUAGACAGAGUAGCUUCUAUGCUAGAUGAUACAUGUGUUAUUGUGGAUGUGAAGACUGAAUGUACUAGCAGAGAUGAUGAUACUGUGGAGGUGGAAAGUGAAAAUGAUGCAAUCAAAACUGAUUGCAAAAACUUCACUGCCAAGCGAAUUGUUUUUAACACCCCUAACAAUUCCUUGAACAAACGACGAAGACUAUCUGAUCUCCAUAAAGCACAAUUAUCUAAGGAAUUGGCUAUGGCAUCAUAUUUUCAAGCGAAAACUGAAAAAAUUAGGCUUGAAAAUUUAAAACUAGAAUUAGAAAUCCAGCAAUUACAAAAUUCCGCUGCUAAUAGUAAUUAGAGCUCUAUGUAAAUACUGAGCUAAUUUUAUGAUUAAGUGUUAUUUCAUAAUUAAGUAUAUAGGAUAAUGUGUAUAUAAUGUAAUGUUUUGAAUAAAAUAUAAUUUUACAAGUAGCUGAAAUAAAAUAGUUCAUAUAUUUUCUGAGAAACAUAUCUACUUGUGAGCUAUGUGGCAUUGGAUGGUACUUUUUGUGUUAAUUUUAUACAUAUGUAUAUUUUAUUAAUUUUAAGUUACACUAGCUGAUACCCGUGACUUCGUCAGCAUACACACAUGACUAAGCACAUACUACUAUAAAAAUCUUUGUUUCUUAAAACUUUAUAUUAAAUGAAGAUAUCGAUUUUUUUUUUCUAGAUUAGGGCCAAGUGUCUAAGGAAUAAAACUUAGAAGACUUAAUUAUUAAAAUAUAUAUCCAUGAUGUGCACACAAAUUAAACCCUCUAUUAUUUUAUUAUAUUGAUAUAUAAUAUUACUUGGUGUUUUUUUGUUUGAGUGUUUUGGUUUUGUAGAUUUGAAGAUGGAUUCUCAUCCAUUUUAUAUCAUAAUUCAAUUUGAUCAAAUGAAAUGAUUUAUUUGUAUAAAUCGUGGUAACAUAGUUGUUAACAAUUGAUAGGUGUACAGCACCAUUCGCCAAUAUAUCGGCAUACAAAUAUUUGAUUGUCAAUAUUGCAAUUUUUAUAUUUAUACGUCAUUAAUACAAAUUACAUAGCUAUAAUUCAAUAAUAUGAGUAUAAUAUAAAAUAAACAUUAGUUUGUAGGUACCUCUCAAAAAAUAACAUUUAAAUACUAUUAUUUUUGGCUAAAGAAUUCAUUUAAACUAUAAAAGCAAUUAUCUAUUAGCCAUAAUUUAAAUUUUUUAUGCAUUCAUGUUUUAGGCAUCUCUCUAACAUUCUUUGGAAGUUGGUUAAAGACCCUAAUAUACAUAACAUUUGCAUUAUUUUGAUGAAGCGCUGUUCUACAGUAUGGCAUCAAAAGGCGAGUUGGAUCUCUUAAUCCUAAUAUGGAAUAGUCCUUUGCUGGUUUUAAAAGUUCACCAUUUUUUUAAUGAAUAUACAAAUUUCUAAUAUAUAUAGACCAGUAAGCGUUAACAAUUGUUUGAAUGAUGGUCUACACAAUUCUAGAGGACUGACAUUGCAUAAAACUCUUAUACAUUUUUUUUGUGCCAGAAAAACAUGUGAAAUAUUAGUGGAGUUUCCCCAUAGUAUUAACCCAUACCGUAAAACUGACACAAUAUAACCAUGGUAUGCAGUAAAUGCAGCAUUAAAGGAUACAGUUUGUCUGAGCCUUCUCAAAGCGAAAACGCACUAAUUUAUUUUGUCUGCCACUGUAUCACAUGUCUAAUAUAAGGCCUAAAAGUUUUAUUCUGUCUGUUUCUUUAAUUGUUUGGUCACUGUGUGUUAUAUUUAGAGAUUUAUGUAUUGUUUUAUAAUUAGAGAAUUGUAUAUAUUUAGUUUUUGUCAUAUUAGUGAAUAAAUUGUUCUCUUUGAACCAUGUCAAUAUAGUUUCUAAAUUUUUAUUAAUAGUCAUAUUAUAAAUUAUCGAUUUAUGCUCGUUAGGAAUAAUUAUGGAUAUGUGUCAAUAGGAGUAUCCACUUGAGUCUUUAAAUCAAGGUCCCUUGCCCAUAAGUUUGAUUUUAUUCUUUAUGUUGAAUUGCUAAACCUUUUUUUUAAGCUGUGGUCAUUUCCACAAUUAUACGAUGGUUUUUCUGUUGCGCUUUUUUUUAUUUAGAUCAUAUAUAUAUAAUACUAGUUGACCCGACAGACGUUGUUCUGUACAUAAUAAAUAAAAUAAUGUUUUUUAUUAAUUUGUCAGUAAUAUUUCAUAUCAUCAAGAAUUAUUUCGUAAAAUAUGCACCCUAUUGUUGUAAUGAAAUUGUUUCACAGCAGAACUGUCAAACCGUGCGUCAAUAAAUUCUCUAGAAAAUAUGCCCAUACAAAACAAAUAUCGGACGACGGGGGACACAUACCUAAAGGAAAAACAAAAUUGUUUUUUUCAAAACACUUUCAUAUUUAUUAACCUUUUAAACCUUCCCUGGACUUCCACAAAUAUUUCAAGACCAAAAUUAGCCAAAUCGGUCCAGACGUUCUCGAGUUUUAGCGAGACUAAGGAACAGCAAUUCAUUUUUAUAUAUAUAGAUAGAUUAUGUAUAUUUAGAAAAUGUAUUAUUCUUACAUACAUUGCUUUUUCCAUUAUCUAUAUAUCUAGAAAAUAGACAUAAGAGUUGGGCGAUAAUUAUUGAUAUCGGUUUUAUUACCUACCUUUUUUAAUUAAUGGCUUAAAACAGAUAACUUUAAGCUUUCUGGAAAGACACCCUGUGAAAAGUAUAUUUUAAUUAAGUGAGUCAAUAUAUGAGAGAUAUUGUGCUUGCAGUGUUUGAGUAUAUGUGUAGAUAUGAAAUCAUACUCAUAACCUGUUGCCUUUGUAUUUUUAAUAGAAUUUAUUAUCUUUAUUACUUCGUUCUCGGAACAUGGAGAGAGAAGUAUACUAUUAUAAUUACUGAAUUUAUUUUGUAUUUAUACUGAUUAUUCCAAUUUUUAGUCAAAUCACUAAAAUAAUUAUUAAAUGUUUUUGCAAUGUCUAAUGGUUUUGUUAUAUCAACGUCACUAUAAUGAAUUAGGUCAAUAUAAUUUUUAGCUAUCAUAUUAA